rnacentral:tRNA from 1 species
AGCUCGGUGGUAGAGCACAUGCUUAGCAUGCACGAGGUCCUGGGUUCAAUCCCCAG